GUGUCCAUGUGCUCAGCUCAUAGCCACCAUGCAUGACUUGGGACUUCUGAAUGGGACCAAGAAAUAUCUAACAUGCGAUUUCCUGGAAAGCACAUAGGAGUUUGGCCCAGAUCCAGACUUGGCAGUUGCUCAAUCAAGAAGAAGCUGCCAGGCACAGUGGCUUGUGCCUGUAACCCCAGAACUUUGAGAGGCUGAGCGGGGUGGAUCACCCAAAGUCAGGAGUUCAAGACCAGCCUGGCCAACAUGGUGAAAUGCCGUCUCUACUAAAAAUACAAAAAUUCGCUGGGUGUGGUGGUGGGUGCUUGUAAUCCUAGCUACUCAGGAGGCUGAGACAGGAGAAUCCCUUGAACCCAGAGGCAGAGGUUACAGUGAGCCGAGAUCGUGCCACUGCCCUCCAGCCUGGGCAACAAAGAGUGA
rnacentral:lncRNA from 10 species